GAUGAACGCUGGCGGCGUGCCUAAUACAUGCAAGUCGAACGAAACUUCUUUAUCACCGAGUGCUUGCACUCACCGAUAAAGAGUUGAGUGGCGAACGGGUGAGUAACACGUGGGCAACCUGCCCAAAAGGGGGGGAUAACACUUGGAAACAGGUGCUAAUACCGCAUAACCAUAGUUACCGCAUGGUAACUAUGUAAAAGGUGGCUAUACUACCGCUUUUGGAUGGGCCCGCGGCGCAUUAGCUAGUUGGUAGGGUAAAGGCUUACCAAGGCAAUGAUGCGUAGCCGAAUUGAGAGGUUGAUCGGCCACAUUGGGACUGAGACACGGCCCAAACUCCUACGGGAGGCAGCAGUAGGGAAUCUUCCACAAUGGGCGAAAGCCUGAUGGAGCAACGCCGCGUGGGUGAAGAAGGUCUUCGGAUCGUAAAACCCUGUUGUUAGAGAAGAAAGUGCGUGAGAGUAACUGUUCACGUUUCGACGGUAUCUAACCGGAAAGCCACGGCUAACUACGUG
rnacentral:rRNA from 1 species